UACAGAGGUCUCAAGCGUUGUUCGGAAUUACUGGGCGUAAAGGGUGCGCAGGCCGCGCGGGCAGUCAAAUGUGUAAUCCAGGGGCUCAACCCCUGAACUGCGCUUGAUACUUCCGCGCUCGAGCUUUGGAGAGGAGUCUGGAAUUCUCGGUGUAGCAGUGAAAUGCGUAGAUAUGCGGAGGAACACCGAUGGCGAAGGCAAGCCCCUGGGCCUGCCACUGACGCUCGAUGCACGAAAGCGUGGGGAGCAAACAGG
rnacentral:rRNA from 1 species